AGCUGAUUCAAGGCAACACUGCUGCUCGUCUUUCUGCCACUCAAUUUACUAAUCGAGGAGACAAGCAUGGGCUGUGUUAGGUGAGGGAUUCCCCAGAAGGUAAAAGUAAACAUUACUGCAGUCCGGGCGGCCGCAGGGACAUGGUGGUUUAUAACGGUAGAAAUGCGGCAGCGGAUGCUGUAACGUUAUAUGGAUCAGUUAAUCCAAAUCAAUUUUACAAAUAAAAUUUGACUGCUUUUGCGGCAUCUCUACGGGAGAUUCGUGGUGUGAGCCGCUAUGUUGGUCCGUUGUUUUGCCCUUUAGGUCACCGCGCAUGUCACGUGACUGAAAACUAUGAAUAGACUACAGAGGGUCAGUCCUAGCAUCCCUGAGGGAUUCAUGUUACACACAAAAAGAUGAGGUUUUUUUAUUGAUAAUGACACAUUGUUCAAAAUUUGUAAGAUAUGAUUUAAACCAAGCCAAAGUUUUCUCUGAAAAAUUUUACUUUGAAAGUUUGGAAACAAGAACAUUAUGAUUAACUGUAUUGAAAGCUUUUUUAAAGGGGAACUUAGGGUUCCCUACAGAGCCCAAAUUGCAGUGGGUGUAGAUAAUUAUUUAUUUAUAAAUGAUUCAUUAAUUGCCACAAUCUUUUCAAAAACCUUUGAAAAGACAGGCAGGAUACUUGUUGGCCGGUAAUUAUCCACCUGCUCAGCUGCACCAGAUUUAAAAAUAGGUAGUACUCUUGCUUUUUUCCACAUUUCUGGAAACUCCCCACUAGACAAAGAAAUGUUGAGCAAGUUAAUGGUUCAGGAAAUAUGUGACAAUGCCUCUUCAAAAAGGAAAUAUCCAGAUUCAAAAUCUUUUGAAUUUACUGAUAAUCUCAACGACUUGAUUUUAGGUGAUUUGUUACAGUUCAAAUGCCCCAUCUUUCUCUUCACUUAGUGUUAUCCAUGGGCCAGCCGGUCUGUCCAAAGUUAUUGGCAAGCUCCUCUACUGACUCAAUAAAAUACUCAUUAAAAGCUUA